rnacentral:rRNA from 2 species
UGCAGUCGAGCGGACCUUUAAAAGCUUUGCUUUCAAAAGUUAGCGGCGGACGGGUGAGUAACACGUGGGCAACCUGCCUGUAAGACUGGGAUAACUCCGGGAAACCGGGGCUAAUACCGGAUAAUUCAUUUCCUCUCAUGAGGGAAUGCUGAAAGACGGUUUCGGCUGUCACUUACAGAUGGGCCCGCGGCGCAUUAGCUAGUUGGUGAGGUAACGGCUCACCAAGGCCACGAUGCGUAGCCGACCUGAGAGGGUGAUCGGCCACACUGGGACUGAGACACGGCCCAGACUCCUACGGGAGGCAGCAGUAGGGAAUCUUCCGCAAUGGACGAAAGUCUGACGGAGCAACGCCGCGUGAGCGAUGAAGGCCUUCGGGUCGUAAAGCUCUGUUGUUAGGGAAGAACAAGUACCGGAGUAACUGCCGGUACCUUGACGGUACCUAACCAGAAAGCCACGGCUAACUACGUGCCAGCAGCCGCGGUAAUACGUAGGUGGCAAGCGUUGUCCGGAAUUAUUGGGCGUAAAGCGCGCGCAGGCGGUCCUUUAAGUCUGAUGUGAAAGCCCACGGCUCAACCGUGGAGGGUCAUUGGAAACUGGGGGACUUGAGUGCAGAAGAGGAGAGUGGAAUUCCACGUGUAGCGGUGAAAUGCGUAGAGAUGUGGAGGAACACCAGUGGCGAAGGCGACUCUCUGGUCUGUAACUGACGCUGAGGCGCGAAAGCGUGGGAGCGAACAGGAUUAGAUACCCUGGUAGUCCACGCCGUAAACGAUGAGUGCUAAGUGUUAGAGGGUUUCCGCCCUUUAGUGCUGCAGCAAACGCAUUAAGCACUCCGCCUGGGGAGUACGGCCGCAAGGCUGAAACUCAAAGGAAUUGACGGGGGGCCCGCACAAGCGGUGGAGCAUGUGGUUUAAUUCUAAGCAACGCGAAGAACCUUACCAGGUCUUGACAUCCUCUUGACAACUCUUGGAGACAAAGCGUUCCCCUUCUGGGGGACAAAGUGACAGU